GAAAGCGUUUGCCUCUAGUCUCUAGGCUCUCAGAGGGCGAGUAGAGAACAUUUAAGUGAAUCAAAUAUUUCUUCCUUUAUGUCUUUCUCAUUUGAUUCAUGGGGAAGGAUCUAUUUUUUCUAGUUGAAAGAAACUGUAAAUAAGCUUGAAAUUAUUCUGCUGCAGAAUAUGGCUCCCGUCUGGAGGAGGAUGUGGUGGGGACCCCUCAGGGCACAACCAGAGGACGUGGCCAUUCUCCUACGGGUAUUGGGCUAAUAGAGACCCUGAUGCUAGAGUUGAUGGAGCUCACACUGAAGAUGCUCAGGCAUAUACAACUUCAGAACUCUUGUACUUGGAAAGCUGAACGGAGCCCAGACUUUGAAGUCUAGUCUUCUUUUCAUUUUUUUUUAAACUAAAAGUAUACAAAGUUGUGGAUUAAAUAGGACAAACUUCUUAAUUUAAAAAUGAACAAAAAAAGGCAAAACAUGUUUAUUUGGAUUUGACACCUAGCAGGAUCAUAGGUUCAGGCUAGAAAUCCAAAUCCCCUCACUAAAAUAAAAUGAGGUGACCUUGACAUUAACACUCCCAAUGCUCCUGCUCUGCCCACACCUGCUUGACUAGGGGGAAGCCCUUAUUUUCUUUAGUGUUUUUCUAUAACCACAAUGGAUUUCUGAAGGCUUAAAAAAAUUGAUUAGUUUUCACCUGCCAGGGACCAGGGAGGUAAUUUCAGCAACAUUUUUUUGGUUAGCAUUGGUUGACUGGCUCUGCUAAUAAAAUGGGGAUGUGUCCAUUAUAGAAAAACUGAAAAGUAGUAACUAUAAUGAACUAAAAAAAUAAAUGCUUUUAUGAGUUAGAGAGUACUUUCUUCCUAGUGUUUCCCAAUAUUUUUAACUGAAAUAUUACUCAUGUGUAUACGGGCAGGUAGCAUUGAUGUAGGGUUUGAGAAUUACAAAGUGAACUCCCAAUAACCAGGUCAAGAAAUAGGAAAUCACAUCACAUAAUCUAUAAGCAUGCACCAAUAUGACUUUCAUCUAAAUUGUUUCCCCUGUUCAUUAUAUCACGUAAGUAU